UAUGUGAUCGUCUCUCGCAUAUCAAUAAGCGGAGGAAAAGAAACUAACAAGGAUUCCCCUAGUAACGGCGAGUGAAGCGGGAAGAGCUCAAAUUUGAAAUCUUAAAGGGUUUCCCUUUACGAAUUGUAGUUUAAAGAAGUGUUUUCUGUUGAGGUUUCGGUAAAAGUUCUUUGGAAUAGGACAUCAUAGAGGGUGAGAAUCCCGUAUUUGACCUUUACUUUCAACUUUGUGAUACACUUUCAAAGAGUCGGAUUGUUUGGGAAUGCAGUCCAAAAUGGGUGGUAAAUUUCAUCUAAAGCUAAAUAUUGGCGAGAGACCGAUAGCGAACAAGUACCGUGAGGGAAAGAUGAAAAGAACUUUGAAAAGAGAGUUAAACAGUACGUGAAAUUGUCAAAAGGGAAGCGUUUGACACCAGUGUUGUUAUUCUGAAAAUCAAUUAAAGAACUGUUUAUGCUAAGCUGUUUAGACUUUAUCAGCUAUCUGUUUAGUUUUGAGCUUUUCUUUAAUGCACUUUUCAGUUAACAAGUCAACAUCAAUUUCUUUUGCUGUAAAAAAGCUUGAGGAAGGUGGCUUGAGAUUCGUCUUAAGUGUUUAUAGCCUCUUGCCUAUGCAGUCGGAGAGAUUGAGGUCUGCAGCGUAGAUCCUUCGGGGCUAAAUGCAUUUGUGCUAAGUUAUAGCAUUUUAUAGACAACUUGUUGACUAUGAUUUGUCUUGUAGCUUACUCGCUUAUGUUAUUUUACCUACGCUUAGGAUGUUGAUCUACAGAGCGAGAGU
rnacentral:rRNA from 1 species